AGGGCAGGUCUAGGUAUAAGCAAUUAUACCGUGAAACUGCGAAUGGCUCAUUAAAUCAGUUAUCGUUUAUUUGAUAGUACCUUACUACUUGGAUAACCGUGGUAAUUCUAGAGCUAAUACAUGCUGAAAACCCCGACUUCGGGAGGGGUGUAUUUAUUAGAUAAAAAACCAAUGCCCUUCGGGGCUCUUUGGUGAUUCAUGAUAACUUUUCAGAUCGCCAUGGCCUUGCGCCGGCGACGGUUCAUUCAAAUUUCUGCCCUAUCAACUUUCGAUGGUAAGGUAUUGGCUUACCAUGGUUUCAACGGGUAACGGGGAAUUAGGGUUCGAUUCCGGAGAGGGAGCCUGAGAAACGGCUACCACAUCCAAGGAAGGCAGCAGGCGCGCAAAUUACCCCAAUCCCGACACGGGGAGGUAGUGACAAUAAAUACUGAUACAGGGCUCUUUUGGGUCUUGUAAUUGGAAUGAGUACAAUUUAAACCUCUUAACGAGGAACAAUUGGAGGGCAAGUCUGGUGCCAGCAGCCGCGGUAAUUCCAGCUCCAAUAGCGUAUAUUAAAGUUGUUGCAGUUAAAAAGCUCGUAGUUGAACCUUGGGCCUGGCUGGCAGGUCCGCCUCACCGCGUGUACUUGUCCGGCCGGGCCUUUCCUUCUGGAGAACCUCAUGCCCUUCACUGGGUGUGCUGGGGAACCAGGACUUUUACUUUGAAAAAAUUAGAGUGUUCAAAGCAGGCCUUUGCUCGAAUACGUUAGCAUGGAAUAAUAGAAUAGGACGUGCGGUCCUAUUUUGUUGGUUUCUAGGACCGCCGUAAUGAUUAAUAGGGACAGUCGGGGGCAUCAGUAUUCAAUUGUCAGAGGUGAAAUUCUUGGAUUUAUUGAAGACUAACUACUGCGAAAGCAUUUGCCAAGGAUGUUUUCAUUAAUCAGUGAACGAAAGUUAGGGGAUCGAAGACGAUCAGAUACCGUCGUAGUCUUAACCGUAAACUAUGCCGACUAGGGAUCGGGCGAUGUUUCUAUCUUGACUCGCUCGGCACCUUUACGAGAAAUCAAAGUUUUUGGGGUUCCUGGGGGGGGGAGUAUGGGUCCGCCAAGGGCUGRAACUUAAAGAAAUUGACGGAAGGGCACCACCAGGCGUGGAGCCUGCGGCUUAAUUUGACUCAACACGGGGAAACUCACCAGGUCCAGAUGAAAUAAGGAUUGACAGAUUGAGAGCUCUUUCUUGAUUUUUCAGGUGGUGGUGCAUGGCCGUUCUUAGUUGGUGGAGUGAUUUGUCUGCUUAAUUGCGAUAACGAACGAGACCUUAACCUGCUAAAUAGCCAGGCUAGCUUUGGCUGGUCGCCGGCUUCUUAGAGGGACUAUCGCUCAAGCCCGAGGAG
rnacentral:rRNA from 1 species